rnacentral:rRNA from 1 species
GUAGUCAUAUGCUUGUCUCAAAGAUUAAGCCAUGCAUGUCUAAGUAUAAACAAAUUUGUACUGUGAAACUGCGAAUGGCUCAUUAAAUCAGUUAUAGCUUAUUUGAUGAUACCUUGCUACAUGGAUAACUGUGGUAAUUCUAGAGCUAAUACAUGCGUCAAAGCCGCGACUUCUGGAAGCGGUGUAUUUAUUAGAUAAAAAACCAACGCGGUUCGCCGCUCCCUUGGUGAUUCAUAAUAACUUCUCGAAUCGCAUGGCCUUGCGCCGGCGAUGCUUCAUUCAAAUAUCUGCCCUAUCAAGUUUAGAUGGUAGGAUAGAGGCCUACCAUGCUUUCAACGGGUAACGGGGAAU